CCUACGGGAGGCAGCAGUAGGGAAUCUUCCACAAUGGGCGAAAGCCUGAUGGAGCAACGCCGCGUGAGUGAUGAAGGCCUUCGGGUUGUAAAACUCUGUCAUUCGGGACGAACCGGAGUCUGAGGAGAUGCAGACUCUCUGACGGUACCGGAGGAGGAAGCCCCGGCUAACUACGUGCCAGCAGCCGCGGUAAUACGUAGGGGGCAAGCGUUGUCCGGAUUCACUGGGCGUAAAGCGCGCGCAGGCGGUGAUGUAAGUCUGAGGUGAAAACCCGAAGCUCAACUUCGGGACUGCCUUGGAUACUGCGUCACUUGAGGAUAGGAGAGGCAAGGGGAAUUCCACGUGUAGCGGUGAAAUGCGUAGAGAUGUGGAGGAACACCUGUGGCGAAGGCGCCUUGCUGGCCUAUUUCUGACGCUGAGGCGCGAAAGCGUGGGGAGCAAACAGGAUUAGAUACCCUGGUAGUCCACGCUGUAAACGAUGAGUGCUAGGUGUAGGUGGGCUCAUACCCAUCUGUGCCGAAAGCUAAACGCAUUAAGCACUUCCGCCUGGGGAGUUACGGUCGCAAGACUGAAACUUCAAAGGAAUUGACGG
rnacentral:rRNA from 1 species